CUUUCAGGCAUGUUGCCACUUUGCUUUUUCUCUUUAAAUUCUCCUCAUAAAAAUAGAUUUUUCCCAGCUCAGAACUGGGGGCAGAGAAUAAGGGUUGAAGGAUGUAAAGAGGAAGAAUGCCAGCACUGAACUAGGACUUAUGUGAGCUAAAAUGUUGCAGUGCUUGUAGCUGCAUAAGCAUGAAGGCACGAAAGUGUCUCUUUUCCUUCUGUUGCUGUUCUUCUUCCAAGGAACACUGCAAAACCAUAGGACAACCAAGUAUUUUGGAAGUAAAUGUAACUUAAGACAGCAGAUCAUUUUCUUAUUCUGCGCUGGGAAAGAAGGCCAGAACUGUAGUGAGGUGCCACAACUAUUUAUAAGCAGGUUAUUCUGAUAUCCCACUGCUCUACAGCACCAUAUAAAAGUCCAGGCUGGAAGGGACCAGCAUCAUCUGUCCAACUUUCUGUUCAAGGCAGGGCCUUGGGUAAGACUAUUCAGAAUCCUGUCAUAUAUGGAGUAUUUCCAGCACAGGAGAAUCCACUGCUCCUCUGGGCAGUUCAUUUUACCCACAAAGAGUAAAAGCCCCAUUGUGGGACUUUACCACAAAGGGUAAAGUCCCAUCUACCCAUUUUACAGUUGAAAAGGAAACUCUGAGCCCAAGCACCGUUGAUAGACAAUUGCUGUUGAGACCAUCACAUCAGGCUGGGUUUAAUCUUCUGCCCUGGCUAACACAGGAGAGCUUAGAUCCAGGACAACUUCUCUCCAUGAAGUCAUCAGGUUUCUUAUUUGACAUCUUUUGGUCAAUUUUGUCCCCUCUAUUUUGCUCAGGAGCCCAAGGAGGGGGAUGGAAAUCCUGCCAGUUAUGGGUGACACUGCCAAUGACUGAGAGACAUCAGCCCAGGUGUCCAACACAGCUCUCUAAAGGCAGGAUGCUGCUGGACUAGAUGAAGAAGGAAAAAAAUACUUACAAAAUACAUCUUUUUUUAGGGGUAAAUCCCAUCAGUUGGAAUAACUGUGCUUUCUUUAGGCACUCAGGAGCAUCGGGAAGGAGAUGUCUACAGUGGAUCACAAAAAGAAAACACAGCAGUCACUAGGUAUGCCAAUAAUCUACUGUAACUGCUUUUGCCUGCCUGCAAAACACACCUGGCUACCCUAGUGAAAUGGAUUUAGCAUAAGCAAUUGCCAGGCUGCUCUGCCGAAAGUGUUCUCCAGUCUUUGGGCUUGUAAGGAUUCAUUACUGGGGUCAUGAACAUUGCUGAGAGAAGAUUUUAAUUCAGCGAUCUCUACUGCUGCAGUGGAGAGUAACCAAGAAAAGCAAUUCAGAAUGAUUGCAUCUGAUGUCAUGCGAGAAGCCCCUAUCAAAACACAAGAUGCUCUCAGGGAGGCAGACUCUCAAACAGCGCUGCUUAACAGAUGAGGAAGAGUGCGUGAUGAACCAGCUCAGCAGAAAUCAUCUGUGCUUGCACCUGAUACCAGAGGCACCCCACAGCAGCUGGUCCACUUGUCAGGGAGAGGGAGAGAGGCUUCCACAGACGACUGGACAGUAAUCCACUGAGGAGAGCUGUCUCGUUAAUAAAUCUGUCCUCUGCAAUGAGACUCCGCUCACACAGAUGUGUCAGUUCCUUUAUUCAGAGGGAGCAGCCUGAAAAAGAUCAUGGCAGCUAUGCUUUCCAUAGAUGCCAGAGGCUGGGGUGAAGAAGCAGCAGGGAGCAUCAGCGAGGAGGUGGGGUGUUGUGUCUCCUCCACACUGCCCAUGCAAGUCCCCCAUGGUGGCUGCUAUGGCUGCUACCUACACACAGCACGUGAAGCUAUGGAAGCAAGAGGCUGCCCUAUUUGCCUGUGUCAAGCAAGACCAUCAAUAACACCUACUUUUCAGGACCCAUUUGACAGAUUGUACUUUUGGAUGUUGCACAGCAAUAAAGUCCCUACAGCUGGUUUUUUUACAUCGUGCAAAGAAGGUUUUUAAAUCCAAGCAGCUCAUGCACCUGAAGGGAGAACUGUUCAGCAAGCAUGACCUGCUACAAACUUUUGCUUCCUCAACCUUGAAUCAAUUCUGUUUUUCCCCUCUUUCUUUUCCUAAAUUCUCCCGUACCAGAACUGAAGAAACCCCAAAAUUCAUCUGUGGCCCUGGUAUUGCCAAGUUGCUGCCUUGCUCAGGGUCCUUGGGACACAGCGUCCUCUACAGCCCUUCUCCACAGCCCAUUUCCUGGCUGUGCACUGCAAUGCUCUUGCUAAGAGACAGAAGAUGUGCAAGAACCAGAGGAAAUCCUUGCACUGACAAAGAAAGGACUGUGCACACCAAGAACUCCAUCAGAGCAGGGCAGCUUUGCAGAUUGACUGAAAGGAGGCUGCCUGGGCAGUCUUGUUCUCCCUCACAGACAGCAGACCACAGCACAUCUCCUGAGGUGCUCCCUACACACAGGAAACAGAACGACAUUCUCCAGGUUCACCCCUGCUGCUCACCUACCACAAAGCUUCCCCUUGAACAUUUAACUGUGAAAUAGUGAACGAAAACUUAAUUAAAGAUGAAAGGGGUAAAUUAUGCACUGUAAAGUCAAAGGACACUGACUCCUUUCUGUCCAUCACUUGGAAAAUAAGAAAGCUUGAAGUAAGCUGUAAACUGCAUGAAUGCCUCAUUUAACCUCACUACUGAGAUGCUCUACAUACUAUUCUGAAGUUAAUAGUACACUUUCAAUAAUUUAUAGCUAACCUUUUAUCCUACUACAUUUUGAAAUUUACUCCCUUAUACUAAUAAAUAAACAAAGGAGAAAGGGCACUUUGUGUGGCACCUGCCCUAUGAGUCAGGGAAUAUGUAUGUGUGAGCAGGCAGAGGUAUGGGCAGGAUCCUGAAGAAUCACAAAAGAAUGACAGAAACAAUGAUUACAAGUCCCCAGCUGUGGAAAAAAAGCAAUGGGAAAAAACAUAUCAAUCUGGAAAAAAAUUAAUCUGAAGAAGUUAACAUUUAAAAAACACCUAUGUCAACCCCCAAAUCUCCAGAUAUUCUCUUGGAGGAAUU